AGUUAAUGAACUUGAAUAAGUUUAUGUUUUGAAAACAUAGUAUAGAAAUUUUAAUUUUCUAUUAACUU
rnacentral:tRNA from 1 species